UACGGAGGGUGCAAGCGUUAUCCGGAUUCACUGGGUUUAAAGGGUGCGUAGGCGGAUAUGUAAGUCCGUGGUGAAAUCUCUGGGCUUAACCCGGAAACUGCCAUGGAUACUAUGUGUCUUGAAUGUUGUUGAGGUGAGCGGAAUAUGUCAUGUAGCGGUGAAAUGCUUAGAUAUGACAUAGAACACCAAUUGCGAAGGCAGCUGGCUGCACAAAUAUUGACACUGAGGCACGAAAGCGUGGGGAUCAAACAGG
rnacentral:rRNA from 1 species